GGCCUGUAUUGUAUCAAGUGACCGUAAACGCAUCAAUUGUCAUCAGAUCCAUUGUUCAGAUUUUUUUUUUUUUUUUUUUUUUUUUUUUUUUUUGCAGAAACUCCCCCUUUUCCCCCUAGAAAAAGCCAGAGUCUCAUCACACUGAAGUAACCUAAUUCCUGUGUGACCCGCCUCGGUUCACCUUUUCGCUAAACCAGUUUGACGCGUCGCUGUAGUAAAGGGAAGUGAAGGACUCUAACUUUGUAAAUCCUGUUUCUGUUGUCGCAUUGCAACUGAAACAGUUUUAGUAGGCUUUGUUUCUCUGAUUCAGCACUGAGCCUUUUUCAUCAUGAACAUGUUCAGGAGAGAUAAAGGCUCAGCAGCACCAACCCCAGUGGUCCCACCUAGACCCAGCACGGAGGAGUUGGACAACCCCGUCAGACACAGCCUGAACAAAGCGGAUGCAGCAAUUAGACCUGUGCCACAGGACAAUAACAAUGAGGUCACCAGCGAGUCUCUCCCCAAAGCCAAGAGGACUGGGGUGAUGGGUGUCGUGCAGAAGGUCAACCCGUUCAAGUCUACCUCCCAGGCACCCUCCACUGUCAACAAAGCUCCUUCUGAGUCACUGCAACAGGCUGCUGCCCCAGACUCCACACAGAACCCUGGUAUGCUGAAAGGGGUCAUGCAGAAGGUCAACCCGUUCAAGUCCGCCUCACAGGUCUCAUCUGCAGACAGUCGAGCUGCUUCCUCGGAGUCACUGGAACAGGGAAGUGUUGCUGACUCUGCGCAGGUUCAGAACCCUGGGAUGUUGAAAGGCGUCAUACAGAAAGUAAACCCCUUCAAGUCAAGUUCUGCACAGGUGUCAAAGGAGGAUCCUCAAAAUGACUCUGCAGACCCACAAGAGGCUGGGAAACUUGAAGGCAAACAGAACCCAGGGAUGUUCAAAGGGAUGAUGCAGAAAGUAAAUCCGUUCAAGUCUUCCACACAGAUGCCAAAGGAGGAUUGUCAGACAGACUCUGCUGAUCUCCAAACAGGCUCCUCGGUCAAGAUGCAGGACACCCAGUCGCUUCACAGUGACCACUCCUCCAGCUCUGGCAGCUUGGAUGACAGCACCAUAGACAGACAUACGAUUUGGUACGCCGACACUGAAGCCAGCUGUGAAGUGAAAAGCCAGCCACCUGUGGCAGAGAAGAAGAGAUUUGGGACUUUCAGAAUAAGGAGGAUUCUCCCCGGUGCAUUGUUCAGCUCUGGAACCAAGGACUCCACCAAAGCAUCAUCUGACUCUCAGCCCUCGCCUCAGGAGGAGGCAGUAGAAGUCCAAGUGCUAGAGAUGGCUGAAGUACCGGUGCCCAGUGAAGGAGCAGCUCUGGACCCUCUAGAAGUAUGCUCACCUUAUGAUCUAUAAUCAUAUGUGUGUCAGAUGGGUUUCCCUGUGUAUUUUGUAAGAGAUUUCCUCGCACAUACAAAAGCUGUCAG
rnacentral:lncRNA from 1 species